UACGUAGGGCGCGAGCGUUGUUCGGAGUUACUGGGCGUAAAGCGUGCGUAGGCGGUGUCUUAAGUUUGUUGUGAAAUCUCCCGGCUUAACCGGGAGGGUGCGGCGAAUACUGAGAUGCUGGAGUGCCGGAGAGGUAAGCGGAAUUCCUGGUGUAGCGGUGAAAUGCGUAGAUAUCAGGAGGAACACCUGCGGUGUAGACGGCUUACUGGACGGUAACUGACGCUGAGGCACGAAAGCGUGGGUAGCAAACAGG
rnacentral:rRNA from 1 species